rnacentral:rRNA from 1 species
UACGUAGGGCGCAAGCGUUGUCCGGAAUUAUUGGGCGUAAAGAGCUCGUAGGCGGCUUGUCACGUCGGGUGUGAAAGCCCGGGGCUUAACCCCGGGUCUGCAUUCGAUACGGGCAGGCUAGAGUGUGGUAGGGGAGAUCGGAAUUCCUGGUGUAGCGGUGAAAUGCGCAGAUAUCAGGAGGAACACCGGUGGCGAAGGCGGAUCUCCGGGCCAUUACUGACGCUGAGGAGCGAAAGCGUGGGGAGCGAACAGG